UACAGAGGGUGCGAGCGUUGUCCGGAAUCACUGGGCGUAAAGGGCGCGUAGGCGGCUUGAUAAGCGUGCGGUGAAAAGCCCGGGGCUCAACCCCGGGUCGGCCGUGCGAACUGUCGAGCUGGAGCACUGUAGAGGCAGGUGGAAUUCCGGGUGUAGCGGUGGAAUGCGUAGAGAUCCGGAAGAACACCGGUGGCGAAGGCGGCCUGCUGGGCAGUGGCUGACGCUGAGGCGCGACAGCGUGGGGAGCAAACAGG
rnacentral:rRNA from 1 species